UCUCACCAGCCCUUAAAUAAUGUAUAUUUAAGAAAAAAAAAAAAAAAAAACUCUCAUCGUUUUUUCACUGACCCGGUGAGGCGGCGGGGGGGUGGGGGCGAGCCCCGAGGGGUUCUCGCUUCUGGCGCGCCAAGCGUCUGUCCCGCGCAUGCGGGCGGGCACGACCCGCUCGGGGACAGUGCCAGGUGGGGAGUUUGACUGGGGCGGUACACCUGUCAAAAGGUAACGCAGGUGUCCUAAGGCGAGCUCAGGGAGGACAGAAACCUCCCGUGGAGCAGAAUGCAAAAGCUCACUUGAUCUUGAUUUUCAGUACGAAUACAGACCGUGAAAGCGGGGCCUCACGAUCCUUCUAAAAAGAGCUG
rnacentral:ncRNA from 1 species